rnacentral:rRNA from 1 species
UAAGGAAUAUUGCUCAAUGGGAGAAAUCCUGAAGCAGCAACGCCGCGUGGAGGAUGAAGGGUCUAUGACUUGUAAACUCCUGUAAAGAAGGAAAAAAUUCCCAUUUGAUGGGAGAUGAUGGUACUUCUGGAGUAAGCCCCGGCUAACUACGUGCCAGCAGCCGCGGUAAUACGUAGGGGGCAAGCGUUGUCCGGAUUUACUGGGUGUAAAGGGUGCUCAGGCGGAUUUGUAAGUCAGAGGUGAAAUCUUACAGCUUAACUGUGAAACUGCCCUUGAUACUGCAGCCUAGAGUAUGGAAGAGAGUGAUGGAAUAUCUGGUGUAGCAGUGAAAUGCGUAGAUAUCAGAUAGAACACCAAUGGCGAAGGCAGUCACUUGGUCCAUUACUGACGCUAAAGCACGAAAGCGUGGGUAGCAAACA